UUUUUGUUACUGGCCGCUUGAACGCCUAAUUAAAAACAUUUUAAAAAAGCAUCCAUAGCUCGUUCUUUUUUUGAAAUUGGAGAAUAACAUUUAUUUUCUUUCUUGGCUUUUUUUUUUAUUAUUUUGGCGGCAAUUCAAAAUUCAAAUGCAAAUAAAAAUGGGCAAAAAUAAAAGUUGUUCCGUGUCAACUAGGAAAAUAAUUAUUAAUUUACAUAUAGAUAAUAAGUUUUUAAUACAAUUGAUCUAUAAUGAUUUCUAAACACAUGGAACUGUUGAAAAUUUUCUUAGAAAGGCUCGGCCAAGAAAAACCUCUCCCAGAGAAGAUACGUUAAUCGUUCGCAUUGCUAAAAAAGACCCAAUUAAAGGCCCAACCAGAUUAAAAAUGAAGUUUUUUCGCCUGAUGACCCGAGAAAUAUCUCGCCAAGAUUAAUACGCCGAAGAUUAGUGGAAGCUAAAUUGUUUGGAAAAGAACCUCUCGAAGGGCCGCUCUCAUUCACCACAUCGCAACAACGACCCUCGGCAGUGAGGAAUGAGAGGGGGGGCGCACUGACCGGACAGCACCAGCUCGUCGGUGGGGUUGAACACGGCCCUGUUCUUCGCGUACUGGUUGCUGAUGGAGGGCGUGAGCGUCAUGAGCUCGCGGCCGGUGCGCGUGUCGAAGAUCGUCGCCGUCUCGCCCUUGGUGCCGAUGAUGCGGUCGUCGGACAUCUUCGAGAACUCCACGUACUCCUCGGCGUCUAACUGGAAACUGAAGUUCGAGAGAAGUUAUACUUCUAUCGGCGGCUCUUCCAAGAAAUGUUUAGUCCGGGCACGGAAAUAUUACUUAUUAUCUCGCAUUGUGAGAGACGAGUAAACAUUUUUGAAAUACAAUGCUAAAAAAAAAUACAUCGCAACUUUAGAAUUGAAAUGGCUUAAUUAAAAAUCUUAAAGAAAAAAUUAGUUUUAUA